rnacentral:rRNA from 1 species
CCUACGGGAGGCUGCAGUAGGGAAUUUUCGUCAAUGGGCGCAAGCCUGAACGAGCGAUGCCGCGUGAGUGAAGAAGGCCUUAGGGUCGUAAAGCUCUGUUGCGGGGGAAACAAGGCAGCAUCCGGAAAUGGGUGCUGACUGAUGGUGCACCGCCAGCAAGUCACGGCUACCUACGGGCCAGCAGCCGCGGUAAUACGUAGGUGGCGAGCGUUGUCCGGAAUGAUUGGGCGUAAAGGGUGCGCAGGCGGUCCUGCAAGUCUGGAGUGAAACGCAUGAGCUCAACUCAUGCAUGGCGUUGGAAACUGGAGGACUGGAGAGCAGGAGAGGGCGGUGGAACGCGAGGUGUAGCGGUAAAAUGCGUAGAUAUAUGGAAGAACACCAGUGGCGAAGGCGGCCGCCUGGCGUGUUGCUGACGCUGAGGCACGAAAGCGUGGGGAGCAAAUAGGAUUAGAUACCCCUGUAGUC